rnacentral:lncRNA from 1 species
CCUAAGUCUACUCGAAUCAUGAAGUGUCAUCCGUGUUAAUAUAGCAUCCUCAGAAUAUGCAACAUUCUCAGCAUUCAUCUCUUACACACAUUAGCCAUGUUCUCUUCCACUACAAGUGUGAAGUGCAUCGUGUGUGCUAGCAUGCCCUCUAGUGAAACAAGGCAAAGACUAUCAAACUUCAACAGAGUCCUCACUAUGAGCCGUUAAUCAGAAUCAGGCUUAAACACUUCUUUACUAAAGAGUCAACUACAAUUUAGGGUCACUAAAGAAUUCCUAUGCCUCUCCUAUUUUUUUCUAUUUUUUUUCUUUUUCUUGCUAAGUCUAAGGUUGGGACGCUUCUCAGUGUAAAUAAGUCACGACCGCCAUUCGACUUCGCUUAUUCUUCUUUUUUUUCUUUUUUUUAAUCAAGUAUUUCUCCAGUAAUCAAGGGUUGUGAAAAGUCACCAAGAAAAUGCUUAUUCUAAUACAUUUGCACUUAAUACCAGCACAAGUACAUGGAUCGUCCCUUUCACAUGACAUUGCAUUUUACCCAUUGAUCUCAAAGGAGUACCUGAUAAUUUUUAUUCUUUUUUUUUUUUUUUUUUUAUAAAGGCAUAUUCAUCCCUUAACUCCCCCAAACUUAAGAUUUACAAACUCUAAGUUCAAAAAGGGAAUAAUCCAAACUCUACGCCCGACUCAACGCAAGGACUCAAGAAAUAAGUUAGUCUAAGUCUUAUCUCUAGAGCAUAAGUGUAAUUACAAUUUCCACACAAGCAGUUUCCAAGUAACAAGGCAUCACAUAUGAUCGAAACUACUAGCCAAGAAAUUAUGCACAUA